UAUCAGGUGGUGUCAGAAGCGGGAUCCAAAAUGGAGUUUCUAGCAAACCCCUGGAGUGCUGAGUGAACACGAAAGGUACCAGCAGGACCCACUUGUGUCCACGGAUCUCUCAGAGUGGCUGGGGACGAUGGGGGGAGAAAAAUGCCAGUCUUUAAUGAACUCGGAGCUAAAGUAGAUUAGCUGUUUUCUUCAGGUUUUUCCAAAUAAAGGAUCAUAUCAUCUACAAAGAAGGAUAAAUUGACUUCUUCCUUAAUUUGUAAGUAUUUUAUUUUUCUCUCUUGUCCGAUUGCUCUAGCUAGUACUUCCAGUACUAUGUUGAGUAACACUGGUGACAGUGGGCAUUCUUAUUGUAUUCUGAAUCUUAAAGGCUUUGAGCUUUUCCCUAUUCAAUAUGACACUAGUUGUGGAUCUGUUUUAUAUGACUUUUAUUAUGUCGAGCCAUGUUCCUUCUAUACCCAGUUGUUUAAGGGUUUUUAUCAUGAAGGGAUGUUGAAUUUUAUCAAAUGCUUUUUCAGUAUCAAUUGAAAGGAUCUUAUGGUUAUUGUCCUCCCUUCUGUUGAUAUGAUGUAUUACACUGACUGAUGUGUGUAUGUUAAAACAUCCUUGCAUCCCU